rnacentral:rRNA from 1 species
GUGCCAGCCGCCGCGGUAAUACGAGUUGCGCAAACGUUAUUCGGAAUCACUGGGCUUAAAGGGUGCGUAGGCGGGCGCGCAGGUCAGGUGUGAAAUCCCACGGCUCAACCGUGGAAUUGCGCUUGAAACCGCGUGUCUUGAGGGGGUCAGAGGAGAGCGGAACUGAUGGUGGAGCGGUGAAAUGCGUUGAUAUUAUCAGGAACACCGGUGGCGAAAGCGGCUCUCUGGGACCUUUCUGACGCUGAGGCACGAAAGCUAGGGGAGUGAACGGGAUUAGAUACCCCGGUAAUCCUAGCUGUAAACGAUCUGUACUAGUCCGUGGAGACCCCCACAUCUUCUCGGACGUAGCGAAAGUGUUAAGUACAGCGCCUGGGGAGUAUGGUCGCAAGGCUGAA